AGCAGCCGCGGUAAUUCCAGCUCCAAUAGCGUAUAUUAAAGUUGUUGCAGUUAAAAAGCUCGUAGUUGAAUUUCGGGAUCAGUUGGUCGGUCGUGCCUCGGUACGUACUGGUCAAAUUGAUUCCUACCUUCUGACGAACCACGAUGUCAUUAAUUUGGUGUCGUGGGAAAUCAGGACUGUUACUUUGAAAAAUUAGAGUGUUUAAAGCAGGCUCGCGCUUGAAUACAUUAGCAUGGAAUAAUGAAAUAGGACGUUUGAUUCUAUUUUGUUGGUUUCUAGGAUCGACGUAAUGAUUAAUAGGGAUAGUUGGGGGCAUUAGUAUUCAAUUGUCAGAGGUGAAAUUCUUGGAUUUAUU
rnacentral:rRNA from 1 species